rnacentral:rRNA from 1 species
UAGCCGUAAACGAUACUCGCUAGGUGUCGGCCACGGUGCGACCGUUGUCGGUGCCGUAGGGAAGCCGUGAAGCGAGCCACCUGGGAAGUACGGCCGCAAGGCUGAAACUUAAAGGAAUUGGCGGGGGAGCACCACAACGGGUGGAGCUUGCGGUUUAAUUUGGAUUCAACGCCGGAAAUACUUACCGGGCCGGACAGCAACAUGAAGGCCAGGCUGAAGACUUUGCCGGAUUAGCUGAGAGGAGGUGCAUGGCGUAGUCGUGU